GCAUAUUGUAGAAGAACCAGUAUUUAUGCAAGUCUUGUUUUAUCAUCAUUUCAUCAAUAAAAGCUUAAUUAAUUAUAAUUGUUAGUGUUUUCUCUACUUACAUUUUGUAACCAAACAAGUCAUCAAUUGUAAGAUGGAAGGCAAAUUUGCAGCUAUGCUCAUGACUGUGCUCAUGAUGAGUCUGCUCAUGGUGCAAAUUCAAGUUGAAGCAAAGAUCUGAUGCCCGUCCCAGAAUGCUAGAACUGCUUAUACUAUCUGCGAUUAUACCCCCACAAUCCCCCAGUUCGCUUGCUUAUUUUCCACUGGUUGCACAAAAGUUUCUGAUAAUGGUCGAUGCCCUUCAGGCUCUAUUUACAAGCGUCUCGAGAACUCAGGUGAUGCUGUCAAUGAAUACUGCAAGCUAGGGUGUGCUUCCUCUGUGUGCAUUGCCAUGACUACUCGCAGGAACUCUGAUGCUAGUGAAAUUGUGGGUGGAGCCGUUGAAAAAUGUACCAAGGCAUGUUCUAUUCUCUGCACCAAGGGCUUUGUGAAGCCUGCACUUGAAAUUGCGUAAACUAGAGGAUAUCCACAAAGCAAAGAUACCACAUCCAUGUGUUCAAAUUGUUGAUUUCCCUGUUUUCAAUAAUUGUCACUCUAUAUGACAAUAAAAGCUAGACUCUUGUGUUAGCUAAUACUAUUUCUGGUUAAUUUAUGUUUUGCAAUAUUCAGUUUGUCUAUGUGUUGUUGGUUGCGUCGUAGAAGGUUGUGUAUCCUUUCUACUUGUUCUUGUUUAAAUAAAAAACUAUUGUGUCCUU